rnacentral:rRNA from 1 species
UACGUAGGGUGCGAGCGUUGUCCGGAAUUAUUGGGCGUAAAGAGCUUGUAGGCGGUUUGUCGCGUCUGCCGUGAAAAGCCCAGGGCUUAACCCUGGGUCUGCGGUGGGUACGGGCAGACUAGAGUGUGGUAGGGGAGACUGGAAUUCCUGGUGUAGCGGUGAAAAUGCGCAGAUAUCAGGAGGAACACCGAUGGCGAAGGCAGGUCUCUGGGCCACUACUGACGCUGAGAAGCGAAAAGCAUGGGGGAGCAAAACAGG